rnacentral:rRNA from 1 species
UACGUAGGGUGCGAGCGUUGUCCGGAAUUACUGGGCGUAAAGAGCUCGUAGGUGGUUUGUCGCGUUGUUCGUGAAAUCUCACGGCUUAACUGUGAGCGUGCGGGCGAUACGGGCAGACUAGAGUACUGCAGGGGAGACUGGAAUUCCUGGUGUAGCGGUGGAAUGCGCAGAUAUCAGGAGGAACACCGGUGGCGAAGGCGGGUCUCUGGGGCAGUAACUGACGCUGGAGGAGCGAAAAGCGUGGGGAGCGAACAGG